CACGUAGGGCGCGAGCGUUGUCCGGAAUUAUUGGGCGUAAAGAGCUCGUAGGCGGCCUGUUGCGUCCGCUGUGAAAGCCCGGGGCUUAACCCCGGGUCGGCAGUGGAUACGGGCAGGCUAGAGGUAGGUAGGGGAGAAUGGAAUUCCCGGUGUAGCGGUGAAAUGCGUUGAUAUCCAGCGGAACUCCGGUGGCGAAGGCGAGGUGCUGGACCCUUUCUGACGCUGAGGCGCGAAAGCCAGGGGAGCAAACGGG
rnacentral:rRNA from 1 species